rnacentral:tRNA from 1 species
GGUAGCGUGGCCGAGCGGUUAAGGCGCUGGUUUAAGGCACCAGUCUCCCAGGAGGCGUGGGUUCGAAUCCCACCGCUGCCA